rnacentral:rRNA from 1 species
UACGUAGGGGGCAAGCGUUGUCCGGAAUCAUUGGGCGUAAAGAGCGCGUAGGCGGCCCGAUAAGUCCGCUGUGAAAGUCAAGGGCUCAACCCUUGAAUGCCGGUGGAUACUGUCGGGCUAGAGUGCGGAAGAGGCGAGUGGAAUUCCUGGUGUAGCGGUGAAAUGCGCAGAUAUCAGGAGGAACACCAAUUGCGAAGGCAGCUCGCUGGGACGUAACUGACGCUGAGACGCGAAAGCGUGGGGAGCAAACAGG